rnacentral:rRNA from 1 species
UACGAAGGGGGCUAGCGUUGCUCGGAAUCACUGGGCGUAAAGCGCACGUAGGCGGAUCUUUAAGUCAGGGGUGAAAUCCUGGAGCUCAACUCCAGAACUGCCUUUGAUACUGGGGAUCUCGAGUCCGGAAGAGGUGAGUGGAACUCCGAGUGUAGAGGUGAAAUUCGUAGAUAUUCGGAAGAACACCAGUGGCGAAGGCGGCUCACUGGUCCGGUACUGACGCUGAGGUGCGGAAGCGUGGGGAGCAAACAGG